rnacentral:rRNA from 1 species
CCAGCUCCAAUAGCGUAUAUUAAAGUUGUUGCGGUUAAAAAAGCUCGUAGUUGGAUUUCUGUCAAAAACGAUCGGUCCGCCAUUGGGUGUGUAUCUGGCUCGGUUUUGGCAUCUUUCAGGCCAACGUAGCUGCACUUGACUGUGUGUCACGAUGGCCGAUCUUUUUACUUUGAGGAAAUUAGAGUGUUUCAAGCAGGCAC